AGGCCCGCCAAAGACGGUAACAGCCCGGUAGUUGAAAUGGCUUUCCCUCCAGAGUGGAUCCUGAGUACGGCGGAACACGUGAAAUUCCGUCGGAAUCCGGGAGGACCAUCUCCCAAGGCUAAAUACUCCCUAGUGACCGAUAGUGAACCAGUACCGUGAGGGAAAGGUGAAAAGCACCCCGGAAGGGGAGUGAAACAGUUCCUGAAACCGUGUGCCUACAAGUAGUUAGAGCCCGUUAAUGGGUGAUAGCGUGCCUUUUGUAGAAUGAACCGGCGAGUUACGAUUUGUUGCAAGGUUAAGCGGAAAAAGCGGAGCCGUAGCGAAAGCGAGUCUGAAUAGGGCGCAUAAGUAACAGGUCGUAGACCCGAAACCAGGUGAUCUACCCAUGUCCAGGAUGAAGGUAAGGUAAUACUUACUGGAGGUCCGAACCCACGCACGUUGAAAAGUGCGGGGAUGAGGUGUGGGUAGCGGAGAAAUUCCAAUCGAACUUGGAGAUAGCUGGUUCUCUCCGAAAUAGCUUUAGGGCUAGCCUCGAGGUAAAGAGUCAUGGAGGUAGAGCACUGUUUGGACUAGGGGCCCUUCUCGGGUUACCGAAUUCAGAUAAACUCCGAAUGCCAUGUACUUAUACUCGGGAGUCAGACUGCGAGUGAUAAGAUCCGUAGUCGAAAGGGAAACAGCCCAGACCACCAGUUAAGGUCCCCAAAUAUAUGUUAAGUGGAAAAGGAUGUGGGGUUGCUUAGACAACCAGGAUGUUGGCUUAGAAGCAGCCACCAUUGAAAGAGUGCGUAAUAGCUCACUGGUCGAGUGACCCCGCGCCGAAAAUGUACCGGGGCUAAACAUAUUACC
rnacentral:rRNA from 1 species